ACGGAAGGCAGCAGUGGGGAAUAUUGGGCAAUGGGGGAAACCCUGACCCAGCAACGCCGCGUGAAGGAAGAAGGUCUUCGGAUCGUAAACUUCUGUCCUCAGGGAAGAGAAAGAGACGGUACCUGAGGAGGAAGCCCCGGCUAACUACGUGCCAGCAGCCGCGGUAAUACGUAGGGGGCAAGCGUUGUCCGGAAUGAUUGGGCGUAAAGGGCGCGUAGGCGGCUCGGUAAGUCUGAAGUGAAAGUCCCGGCUUCAAGUUGGGAAUUGCUUUGGAUACUGUCGAGCUUGAGUGCAGGAGAGGUAAGUGGAAUUCCCAGUGUAGCGGUGAAAUGCGUAGAGAUUGGGAGGAACACCAGUGGCGAAGGCGACUUACUGGACUGUAACUGACGCUGAGGCGCGAAAGUGUGGGGAGCAAACAGGAUUAGAUACCCUGGUA
rnacentral:rRNA from 1 species